GUGAGCUUGUGUUUUUGUUCUAUUUAUCCUAUCUCUGUGUAGCUGCAGAUCCAAUGAUGGAGGUUUGAGCUGAUUUCAGAACAGAGUGUCCAGUGUGUUUGUGAGGAAGAUGCAGUGGCUGUCAUUAUGCAGUCCUCACCAUUAGUAUGUAGAGGCCACUUUCAAAAUUUUGACCAGCCAAUCUCCUUCUUCUGUGUAGCAGCACUGUGUAAUUAAUUUAUCCUGGUUGUGGAGCGUAGACGUCGAUCCAUCGCAGAUUUCAUUUUGUCGGCUUCUCCACCUGCAUGAUGCUUUACACUGUAGCUGUGUGAAAAAAAGAAGAAGAGGGGGAACACCAAGUACUGAAAAAUAAAGUAACCACUUCAUCCUGGUCUGGGGAACAGUGGAUCUGGAGCCUGGGUGUUAGUUGGGAAUACACCUCGGAGAAUACACAGAGCAAGCCCAUGAGAUCAAACGCUGAAACUCCACACAGUUACCCAUGCUCAGGAUUAAACCAGGGAGCUGAAGUGGUGAGGUGGCAAUGCUACCUUAUAUGUGCCACCAUUCUGCCCACCUAGAAAGUGUGUGCGUAUUAUUUGUCUGUGCUCAUGAACCUCCAGGAAAUUAAUAUAUUUCCC
ensembl:lncRNA